AUUUUGUUCUGUGAGUGACUUGGCUGUAAUGGCUGCAUCUCCAUGAACACUGAAGAAAUGACAGUGUUAGAUAACUCACUCUCUCUAAAUGCAAUAGAGGAGAGGAGUGGUAAUGUUUCUGUGCAAAUGUAUGGGACAGAAAGAAGUAUGGAAGUUGAUGUUCUCCCCCAAAAGCAGCAAUGAGAAGUCUGCUGGAAGGAGAAAGUGGGAACCUCUCGGAAGGAACUACAUGGCCAAGCUGAGUGCAAGUCCUGAAAGAGAGAAAGACGCCGUCUCUCUGAAUGCUUAAGGAAGAAACUGUAAUCUUCAACUAAGAAAAAAUAAAUCCAUGCUUGGAUAAGCAUGUGACUGUAAAUACUUUGCAUAUAUCAUUCUUUAGCUAUAUGUUCUGCAAGAGGCAGAGAAAGAAUUUGCCAGGCUGCAGAAGUCCAGGAAAGGCUUCAUGUGAUUCAAAAGGAGAGGAGGAAAGGAAGGUGGAUUGAUGGAUAGGGAGGCAUAAACAUUUUCCUCCUAGUGAAAAAAUCACUCAGUAGAAAAUGGGCCUGUUACUGUCAGGCAUAUAAUGGCUGCCUUCAGCUCACCUUAUCCAAGGGAGCCACAAUCGAUAGAAACCGUCCAUCCUCUUACUAUCUCUAUGAGGAGUGUGUAGCUGAGGUAGAUGGGACCUUUCAAAGGCCAGGCAAAAUGAGACAAGACAAGGUUGAAGAAUGAAAUGGAGGGGCCCCAGACAUGUAAAUAAUAGUAAGAUGCUGCACUGGACAACUCUUGACAAUGUGGUAGAGUGGCAAACUUCAUGCUUGCGCAAGGGUCUCCUCCAUCUUGCCAGAAGUUACCACCUGGGCCACUGUGGAUGUGCCUUUCUUUGCACGCAAUGCACCUGGAAGUGAAGCCGGAGAGUUGCAAUCGCAAGUGGGUAAUCAAAAGGCCACGGAGGGAUGACAAUUCAGAUGCUUGCAGCCAAUGCACAGAUUUCACUUAUAUAUAAUUAAUGCAAUUUGCAUAAACACACGAUGAGCAUGGAGGAUCUGGGGCACAGCUGGUGAAUGCCGGCUCUGAUUAGCUCCGAUUUCGUUUGUGCCGUUUCCAGGUAAUUUCGACAUGUUUGGUAGACAACAGCAAGGAAAUCAAGAGCUCAGUGUUGGACUCUGAAAAGGUAGGGUUUUCUCACAAAAGGCAUCGGCUGCUCCUACUAUCAAAGGAAGCAAGUAGUAGGUAAUUUUGCAUAUCUGCCUGUUGAGGUAGUACUCAUUUUCCCCUGUCGGUGAGCAUGGCUCGCUGUGUGGUGGUAUGAUACAGAACCUUGUCUGGUUGCCCCCCAUUUGUGGGACUCCCUCCCUAUGGAGAUUAAGGCUGUCCCCCUCACAAGCAACAUUCAGAUGACACCUUCAGAGAUACCUGCUCUCACAAGCAUUUGAAAGUGAAUUACCAUUUGAAAUGCUGUUACUGAAUAUCUCUGUAUAGCUUUAAAUUGUUUUCCU